CCUACGGGAGGCUGCAGUGGGGAAUCUUCCGCAAUGGGCGAAAGCCUGACGGAGCAACGCCGCGUGAUCGAAUGAAGGCCUUCGGGUUGUAAAGAUCUGUGGACAGGGACGAAUAAGCCAUGCGAAUAGGUUGGUGUAUGACGGUACCUGUUUAGAAAGCUCCGGCUAACUACGUUCCAGCAGCCGCGGUAAUACGUAGGGAGCAAGCGUUGUCCGGAAUUACUGGGCGUAAAGGGCGCGGAGGUGGGUGCUUAAGUCAGGUGUGAAAACUCUGGGCUCAACCUGGAGACUGCACUUGAAAUUGGGUAUCUGGGGGGCAGGAGAGGAGAGUGGAAUUCCUGGUGUAGCGGUGAA
rnacentral:rRNA from 1 species